UNCCAAGGUGCGACCACUUUGUAGAUGCUC
rnacentral:piRNA from 1 species